rnacentral:rRNA from 1 species
GACGAACGCUGGCGGCGUGCUUAACACAUGCAAGUCGAACGGAAAGGCCCUGCUUUUGUGGGGUGCUCGAGUGGCGAACGGGUGAGUAACACGUGAGUAACCUGCCCUUGACUUUGGGAUAACUUCAGGAAACUGGGGCUAAUACCGGAUAGGAUCUCCUGCUGCAUGGUGGGGGUUGGAAAGUUUCGGCGGUUGGGGCUGGACUCGCGGCUUAUCCGCUUGUUGGUGGGGUAGUGGCUUACCAAGGCUUUGACGGGUAGCCGGCCCGAGAGGGUGACCGGCCACAUUGGGACUGAGAUACGGCCCAGACUCCUACGGGAGGCAGCAGUGGGGAAUAUUGCACAAUGGGCGGAAGCCUGAUGCAGCAACGCCGCGUGCGGGAUGACGGCCUUCGGGUUGUAAACCGCUUUCGCCUGUGACGAAGCGUGAGUGACGGUAAUGGGUAAAGAAGCACCGGCUAACUACGUG